UGCUUGAGAUGAGCUUCAGAGUAGGUGUUCCCGUUGGGAUUGUGCGGGUUUAUUAUAAAUAUUGCGAAUGUGUUCUCAUCCGCUGCCGCUCGGACGCUGUCAAGGUCAAUCUAAUACUUCUCUUCGCGAAGAAAUUCGUAAUUGCGGACCUCAAGGUGCUUGAAGAUGGAACGGAUUAAGUUACUUGGGUAGCCUGGCUUGGGAAGCAAGAUGUUGGCAUUUGGUUUAGCCAAUGUAUCAACGGCAAGCUCGAUGGCUUGUUUGCAUCCAACGGUCAUAAACACGUCAUCAGGUGACAGUUUCUUCGGAAGAUCUCUGUUUAGGUAAUCUGCUACAGCCCUGAGAAAAGCAAAAAUUAUGGGACACUUUUUUGUCAAAGAGGUCUAAAAUUAAUAAACUAUGCUACUAUAAUUCUAUGUAUGUAUAUAUCACCUUUUUUCCUUUUAUUUCCUUACGUAGUUGUUUAUUUUUGGAUGAUUACUCUCGUUACUACUAGUGAGAUUAUAUAGUACAAGUUUUUACACUUUUUCUUAUGAUAGUUUAUACUUCGCGUGGUUAUAUAAGAAAAGAAAGGAACUAAAUGCAUCUCGAGUCCCAACAUGUUAGAACGUUUCCUCUAAACACGGUAAGUACAAAAUGUAAAACUGUCGAUGGAAAAUAGGUCAUUUAUAUAAAAUAUAUUAUCAGACAAUGAAAAAUCACGUGCUAUUUGGAUUUUCAAUUAUACUAGGUGAUAUUAUAUAAUAUAGUACCAAACUUAUUUUCUUUCUAUCUGUAGUUCUUACCAUCAGUGACGGCCUCUACACUUUACAUUUUGCUUAUGAUGCCGUGCGUCACCAUCAACACAUAUAAACGCAAGACUUAAGAACAAUCCUAAUGAUUUGAGACGUGAGUUAGAAGAAACAACGGAAUAUUUUUUUUGUUUCGUCGUGUUUUUAGCUUUCGUCUAUACACUGUAAAUCGUGAGGAUAAGUUGGAAUAACCUAUCGCCACGAUACAUAAACAUUUAUCAGUUAACAGUAGUUGUUAUAGUUCCGUAGUUAUAUAUGAUGACUAGCAACUUUAUCGACUUGUUUUAACAAGUUAUGUUAAUAAGUUAUAAUUAUGUGUAGUGUUAAAUCAAUACCAUAGAUAAUUGUGAUUUUUUUUUUCUUUUUGGUAUUAAACCAUGUAUUACGUAACAAACAACAUACCAGCUACCAAAUUAUGUAGGGUAAUUUUCAUAUUUACCACUUUCUUAAUACCCUUAUUCAUGUUUACCACCACUAAAAAUACAUUUUCAAAAAUAUUUUUUUCACUAAGUGACAAAAGACUAUUAUAUCAUUCCUCUUUGUAUAUAUAAUAAAUAAUUAUUUAAAUAAAUAAAAAAUAAAAAAUAAAAUAACAAAAAAUAAAAAAAUAUUUUUUUUAUGUUUUCGAGUUAUACUCUUUCAAAUUCGAACUUUAUUAUAAAUUUCUUUUUUUUUGAAUUUUGUGUUUUGAUUUUUUUUUCAAAAUUUCUUUUUGAAACUAUUUUUUAUAUUUUUUAAGUAUUUAUUUAUAUAUUUAUUAGAAUCCUAAAUUUCACAUUCCAAAAACCAUACCUCACCCAUCAACUCUAAAACCGUAAGACUACAUUAGUUAAUCCUAGGAUUAUAAAUGUCUUUUAUUCUUCAUUAAAAGUUAUGAUAAAAGUGGUGGGUGUAAACAUGAAAAAAAUAUUAUGAAUAUGGCAUUUUUGGUGAUUUUCCAAUUAUAUAUCGCUUAACAAAUUAUGUAUCAAACAAUGUAUCAACUCACAAAUAACGUAUCAACUAACAAAUUACUUAUCAAACAACAUAGCUAACACAUUAUAAAUCAAACAAUGUUUCAAUCACAAUUUUUGUUUUCACAUUUCGUCUAUCACUAAACCCAACGAGGAUAUUAACCUAAUUAUGCCUUCUUUUUUGUAUAUACAAUAAAUUCUCUCAAAAUUUAAUGGUUAGCGUUAUGCUGGAAACAAGAAGAAAACUACGACGUUCUAAUCUCCUAGAGACAUAAAUGUUCAUUUUUCUCAACGACCCUAAUGCAAUAUAAUAUAAACUAGAUUAAGACCCGCACCUUGCGCGGGAUAAAAAUUAUAUAUAUAAAUUAUUUUAUGUAUUAUAUGUUUUUACAUAUUAUGAAAUAAUAAAUAUAUAUUAAAUAAUUAAAAGUCAGUAACUAUUACAUAUAUAAUAAAAUUGAUGCGAACGUAUAAAUCAAUUUUAUUAAUACAAACAAUUUUUUAAAAAAAUUUGAUAGGAUAUGUAAUUAAAUUUAAAUGAUAUUAACAUACAUAGUAUAUUUUUAAUAUUAAUGUCUAUUUUUUUAAUGGUGUUUUCUACUCAUAUGUUUUUUUUGAUCAUGUGUAUCUUUAAUAGCAAAAACUUUAAAUUACUGAUAACAAAAUUUUCAUUGUGGGACUAAUAAUUUUAGUAAUUGAUAAUUUAAAAAAAUUUAUCAAUGUUAGUUCAAAACUUUUAUCAAAAAAAUUAUUCAAAGUAAAUUUUGAAACUAAAAUAUUUAUUUAUUCAAUAUGGUUUAUAGUUUAAUUUAGAAUGAUAUAUAUAUACAUAUAUAUUUUAAAUCUUAAUGAUUAAUUAAAUUAGACUUUUACUUAUAUGAUUUUGUAAUCAUUUGUAUUUUGUCAUAACAAAAAUUUUAAACCAUGGAUCGCAAAAUUUGAAUGUGAGACUUUUAACAAUUUUAGUAAUUUAUAGUCAUUUUUUAAAAUUCAAAAUAUAAAAUAUACAGAAAAAUCUAAAUUUUUAUAAUAUGGUUAUUUUGUUUUUUUUAAAGUUAUUUUAAUAGUUUUAAAUUAAACAAAUUUGAUAGAGGAUACAUUUUUUUUAUCAGAUUUUUUUUAUUCAAAAUCAUUAAUUGUCAUAUAUACUUUACCCACAUUAGGCAAUUCCUUAAUCUUUAUUUAAGAAAAUAAUAAUUGACAUUAAUAAUGAAUUUAUGGUUAGUUUAAUAAAAAGUUUAUUAUAUAAUUAGAUGGACCAACCUAUUUCUCUAGUAAUUCUAAGAGUCAUCCUAGUGAUGACAUGUGGCUACAAAAAGAAGUUGUAAUGUUUCACAAAUAAUAUAUAGGGGAUUUGAAUAUACAUAUCCAUACACCAAACCUUUUCUAGUAAUUCCAAAUAUACCGGUUGGGUUUGGCUUUUCUAUGUUAGUGAUUACUGAUUUUUUUUCAUUGGCAAUUUAUUAUAACAACAUUACCAAAAAAAAAAACAUAACAAACCUAGAACCCGAAGAAGAGAGGUUACAUAGAGCCAACUGCAUAGAGCUUUAGCCCAACACAGAGCACCGUCGACCGGAGAAGGUGUAGAGAUAAUGACCUUUUUUUUCUCUCUCGAUUUAUUUUGUUUUUUUUUCUUGUGCUUUAAUUAGGUUAACUAGAUCACGAUCCGCGCAACCGCGCGAGUUUUUGUUUUCAAUUAUUUUUAUAUAAAUAUUUUAUUUUCAAUUCUAAAUUGGUAUAUAUUAUAAUAUGUAUGUGUCUAUCAAUUUUUAAAACAUAAUAAGUUUACUGUAUAUUUUUUUCAUUGAAUACAUUGUUUCAAACUUUCACAUGUAUUUGUAUCUUCUUCUAUAUAUAUUUUUUCGGAUUAUUAUUUCAUUAUUAAAAUCGUAACUAUAUAUAUAAAGAUUAGUAAAAUAUUGUUUUAUUGUCAUAUUCAAAGAUAUUGUAACAUUUCACAUAUUUAGAAAGUUUUUAAAAAAUUAAACUUUUAGCUUCAUAGAUUUAUAUUAUCGAGUAAAUAAUUAAACAUUUAGUUUUUGUUUAAUUUUUAAAAUAAACUAUAUAGUUUAAAAUUUGUUUUCAUUGGUUUAAGGUAGUAAAGAUUAAUCAUUGUUAGAUAAUAUGAUUUUUUUUUUAAAAAAAAAUGUUUAUAAUUUUAAAAGUUAACAUCGACAAAUAUUUAAAUAUUUAGCAUAUAGAGGUAUAGUAUUACAACAUUAAAUUAUAUCUAUUUAAUUUAUACUAUCUAUAAAUCCAAUAGAUCAUCUAUUGUUUAAAUCCAAUUACUGAUAGCCAAUAAAAAAUUUUGAUAUGCCCAAAAUUUAAAUGAUAAGAUUAGAUAUUAAAUGUAACAUUACUUUAUAAGAAUAGGUCCAUUAGAUCCAUUUUUUAAAAAAUCACACAUGAAUCAAGGUUGUGACUUAUGUUUUAAUAUAUAAGAUGUUUAUUGAUUAGUCUAACUACUUAAAAUAUAUGAUCUUAUGUGACAACUGAAAACAGGUCAUGUGGCGGUAACGAAAAACCUGAUGCGCCAUUAUAUGAGAUGUGAUAAUUAUUGUCCUAGAUGUGGUGAACCAAAAGAAACUGUUAUUCAUGCCAUAUUUGAAUGUCCUUCAGUUCUGCAAGCAUGGUCCCUAUCAACAACACCAUCUAGCCCUAACACCUUCCCGCUACCAAGUAUUUAUGCCAAUAUGGACUAUCGUUUUUGGAGAAAGAAUAGCAUCGUUGAACCAUAAUUAGACAUGGAUCCUUAUCACUUGAUAAUUUGGUAUACGUGGAAGGCUCAGAACGAUAAACUCUUUUGAGGGAUAGACGUGGAUCCUUUGGAGCUAGUCCGACAUGCGGAAAGUGAAUGUCAAGCCUGGUUCAAUGCAAAUGAAAUGGUAGCCCACAUUCCACAAGAGCAGAAUAUUAAGGAUUCCCAAGUCAUAAGCUUGGAUAAUAUAUGUAUAGUGGAUGGUUGGGUUUGGGUAGAUAACUUGGGAAAUAUUCAACUUAAAGAGACACAGAACUUAAGACGGCGAGAGACUAACAUUCAGAAAUGGAAGCACCGCGAUGGACAAAUUAAGGAGAGUAUGCUUCAACAUUCGUCAUGUCAGAGCUCCAGGACGGAUUGCAAGGAUCUGAUCUCGAUGAUAAAGGAGCUUCACGCUUAGCCAAGUUUUACAACAGAACUGGAGGCGAUAAAGACGCUGCUGAUAUGUUUUUCGGACUUCAAGAUAUCUUAUAUCCUGAGAGCGCAAAAGAGAAUUUCUCACUCUUUAGCUAGGACUGUAAGAUAUUUUUAUUGUGAGCUUUUUUAUAUUGGUUGUUCUAUUCCGGUCUGGUUACCAAGACCUCAAGUUUGAGUAAUAGAAUAGCCCUUCGAGAAAAAAAAAAUAUAUAUAUAUAUAUAGAUUUUGAAACUUUUUUCUCCUCACACUUGUAAGAGAGAUAAUGAAUGAUUUUGUAAUAUGUCAUAUACCGAUAUAUUCUAAUGAAAACAAGCUGAAUUUUAUUCGUUUAUAAAAAGUACAAAGACAUACAUACAUCGAAAGACAUACCCAACGAUGUGAAAACAUACAUGAUUAAUGGUCUACUAUUGUACACCAUUGAUUUAUUCUGUCACAAACUCGAAAGGUGUUCAUAAUUUAUUCAUAAAAGCAAAACACCCCCAUUUAUUUAUUAUAUCAUAGCAUAUAAAAAGACUUAGGCUUACAUAAGAACCCUUUAGUUGACACCAUUGACAGCUUUGCAUGGAGUUUCACCUGAAAUGGAGUGGCGAUCACAAAAGCUCUUCAAUCUAUCAAAUGCAUCCUCCAAAGUUGGAAUAUGCAUGUCAAUAGAAUGCCUCACCCAGUUCUUCAGAGUAAAAGCAAUCCCUAAACCAAACCAGCACACAACAUAUAAGUUGUUUUGUUAAAAUUAUCAAACAGAAAAAAUGAUUAUCUUGACUGAUAGACCGCAAAACCUUGGACAUUGAUAAUGAAUAUUGAUUAAUACCAGGUAAAAGGACGAGGUUUUCCUCAAUAGCUAAUUUUUCACAGAAGUCUUCAUCAUCUUCAAUAUCCACAAAGGAUGAUAAGUUCAGCUCGGUCUGCGAGUAGAAAAGAAAACAAAAUUUAAAGAACACAAUUAUAAAGAGAAGGUUAGAAUAAGUUCUAAAGAUACAGUAAUGAUAGAAUACCCAAAAGAAGGUGCACGCUUCGGGUUUCAUGUAGCAGGUGAGGGAAGGUAUGCUCUUGAGCUUAUAAUAUGCAAACUCGGUUGCAUCUUUCAGAAAGCUCUGCCUCCUUUGGAAGAAAUCUUUACCAGUUUUCUCCAAGAUGGUGGGAAUGGCCGCCUACAUAAUAAAAACCUGAAACAUUAGCUAUAUAAUUGAUAAUAAUUGGAAUAGUCCGUAACAUUUUAUUUUAUAUGGUUACAGAAAGUGUCCGAAUCAGAAAGUCUCGUACCUGGAUAACAGUUGGUGGUUUAGAAUUUAGAUCAAGGAACUGUUUUAUAGCAGCUAAAACCUGUCCAUAAGAUUAGGAAAAAAAGUUAAUAAGAAUGAACGUUGAUAACUCUUAAUAUCAAACAUAGUACAUGCAUAGUGAAUAAUGAUACAUAUUAUUCAUAUAUAUGCUUAAAGAUUGAUGGAGAAAAAUAGACCGGACAUUUUUGGAUUUAAAGACACCAUCUAGGUCGUGAAGCGCGAUCCAGCCAGUUCGCCAUCCAGGGACAGACCAUCCCUUCGAUAUGGACCCGAGUGUAACCACCGGUACAAUGGACGAAAAUUUGCCCAUGGGAACGAAGGGAUUACUCCCAAACACCGACCAACGAAAAACUUCGUCAGAAACAACCAUUAUCCCGAGUUCUCGAGCCAACACAGCGAGCUAAGAUUCAUUAAUAUACACACAGUCAAAGGAUUAUAACAUAAGGCCAUGCGAAUACUUGUAUAGCUAAUUAGAGUAUAGGUGAAAAUACCUGCUUGAGAUGAGCUUCAGAGUAGGUGUUCCCGUUGGGAUUGUGCGGGUUUAUUAUAAAUAUUGCGAAUGUGUUCUCAUCCGCUGCCGCUCGGACGCUGUCAAGGUCAAUCUCAUACUUCUCUUCGCGAAGAAAUUCGUAAUUGCGGACCUCAAGGUGCUUGAAGAUGGAACGGAUUAAGUUACUUGGGUAGCCUGGCUUGGGAAGCAAGAUGUUGGCAUUUGGUUUAGCCAAUGUAUCAACGGCAAGCUCGAUGGCUUGUUUGCAUCCAACGGUCAUAAACACGUCAUCAGGUGACAGUUGCUUCGGAAGAUCUCUGUUUAGGUAAUCUGCUACUGCCCUGAGAAAAGCAAAAAUUAUGGGACACUUUUUUGUCAAAGAGGUCUAAAAUUAAUAAACUAUGCUACUAUAAUUCUAUGUAUGUAUAUAUCACCUUUUUUCCUUUUUUUUCCUUACGCAGUUGUUUAUUUUUGGAUGAUUACUCUCGUUACUACUAGUGAG
rnacentral:lncRNA from 1 species